UUUCAUGUUCAGCGCUUAACUUACCUCCGAAUAAAACCCGCAGUCCCUAUUAGCUACUCGCUGGUAAGGCCAGCGUGUCCCGCGCAUUUCGUGUUUCCGACUUUACCCGACAAUAGCUAACUGGCGAUGCAAAUUUAGAACUGCGACCUACAUUCUUUGUUCCGGGGGAUUCCCUAUUUGUGCGCAUGUCCAGAAGACGUUAAUAUGUCUUCCGGGAAAAACAAACAGGCGUGCUCACAGAUUUACUAUACAACUCUGUGGAUGUGCUCUUUUCGCGGAACAAACUUUGUCAGCCUACUUUUUUUUAUAAUAAUGGAGCCGACGUCUUCCAAACGCCAGCGAGGAGCAAACUGGUCCAGCAGGGAAGUACGGGCAUUAUUAGAGUUUAAGAGAGAGGUUUUUGAGAUAACUCUAGUCAGCAGCUGCCCAGAUUUGCCUUCAUAUGCACCUGUUCCUGAUGCUGGCCUAACAAAGGAAGUGUUCUCUAGUGUAGAUGUCUAUGAUACAAAUAGUUAAGAUGUACUCUCAAUAUAUAUUCUGAGAAAAUAAGUGUCAAGCAGAAUUUAAGUUCAGGUCAGCUUUAUGCUAUACCUAACGCUGUUUGCAGAAAUGACAAGUACUGUUAAUAGUUUGUAAUCUCAGCAGUCCUGUCCAACCUUAAAUGAAUUUUCAGUAGGAUGCAUGUGUGGAAGUGUAAUGUAUCUUAAGAGUGAUGUACAAUCUAAGAUUGCAUAUUUUUGUGGUGCACAACUUGUGAACCAAAUAUUGAAACUUGCACUGGUUUUUCAUUGUUGUUGUUUUGGGAUGAGCAGACAUUUAGAGUUGCAUGCUGGAAUUAAUAAAGUUGAUCAUUCAUUUUCA
rnacentral:lncRNA from 1 species